rnacentral:lncRNA from 1 species
CCUAGGCUAGGGAGACAGCUCUCUGGAGAGCUCUGCUGUCGCCCUUGUCUAGCAAAACCCAUAUAUACAUCGAAGAAUGAGAAAGGAAGGGGGAAUUAAGUCCGUCCGCACUGCGUUGACCGUUAGUUAUCUGGUACAGAUCUCCGUUUAGGUGGGGACCAGCCGAGUUUUUCGCGCCACAGGAGAGCGGCUGCCGCGCUUUUCAGAUGAGACAGGAUCUGCGGGGUAUUAGCGUCUGACGUCGACCAGGUUAUCCUCAGUGUCACCUAAUUGGAAGGGACUGCCUACUUUCGGUAAGUUGUCUUCGAGGAUCCUGACUGGUGUUUCUCAAGUUAUUCCGCCGCUUCAGUGACUGCCCCGCGUCAUCGAAGGCCGCGAAACAUGUUAGAGAUACGGUGUGUCUUUUCACCGGAAAUUCGUGGCCCUUUUGUUGGAUGGAAAGUGCACCAUUUGAAAGAGAGCGUUUUGUCAGCGGCGUUCAUGUCCAGUUGACGCGGGGGUGAUCUCGCCUUCCCUGCCUGUCGACGCCAGGGGUUAUCCUAGAGGCCAGAAAGUAAAGGCAUUUUGGGUACACACGGCUAUGACCAACGGGCAUGGAAAGGGUUGCACUGCGAUGGGCGUCCCGUAUCUCCAGUUAACUGGUUGUUGCUCCAAGAUGAAGCUCUGUCGUUCCCCG